rnacentral:lncRNA from 1 species
GAGAUGACUGACCGAACUCAAGGUGGCCGCCGGGCAGCGCAUAGGUGUUGUGACCGACUGUAGACCGACGACGACCUAGAAGAACCGUCUCGCCCUUCACCAGAAACACCGCCACCCCGAUCACAGGUGCCAGCGACAUUUCUCCGAUUAUUGUUUUCAGUUCGGUUAUUUUGGGGAAAACGGGAAACUGACAGGGUGUUUGGGUUAAGCUUAUUUUGAAAAAAACUUAUAACUUAUUGGAGUUUUUUCAAAGGUGUUGGUGGAAAACUUAUUUAUCAAAAUGGAUGAUUUGAAAUGUAUUUAUCAAAAUAGUUUGCCAUAAAUAAACCACUUUUUCUCGCUCCUAUUAUUAAUAGAUAAAAUCAUUUAUAUUUAUUAGGAUGUUUUCUUAACAAGUGUUAAGAAAAAAAAUACACUAUUCAAAAAGGGGUACCGGCACAACUUGUAGCCCGUUUGCCAACUAUCUCGAUGUAAAUUAUUAUUCUUUUAUAAAAGUUUAUAAAUUUAUAAUUACUACAACUAAAAAAUAGAUCGUGAGAUAUAGAAAAAAAGUUUUAAUAUUUUCUUUUAAUUCAGUUAUCAAGGUUUCUUUAACUUUUUCUAAAACAUUUUUUUAAUAGAAACGUUUAUAUAUAACAUUUUUUUAAAAGUUAAUAUAUAAUAUGUGAUUAUUUUCUAAGUUUUAAACUAUAUGAUAUAUCAUUCGUUAUCAAAAAAAAUUGUAUUAUUAAAGCUAAUAAUCUACAUUAGUUAAACGACUAAUAAGUAUAUAUUAAUAUAUGAAUAUUUAUGCACCAUUAUAUAUAUCCAUAUGACAUGUCUUAUAAAAACAUAUGAUACACUUAUAUUUAUAAUUCUUAUAUUUUUGCGUUUUCACAUAAUUUGUAUUAUACACUUUUUAAUAAUAAUCUGGUUAGAUUUUUUAGGUUCUAAGAAAACUGAUUGAAUCAAAUAUCACCUAAUUGUAACUUCAUCCAAUGUCAUACGUGUAGAACUUAAACAUCAUUAUAUAAAAGUUUUGUGUUAUUUGCUUAAUAUGUAUAUGAAACAUAAUUCGUCAAAUUAUCAUAAAAUCAUACUUCUAUAGAAUUUAUUUACCAUCCAACCCACAUAAUUGGUAAAAUACUUUAUAACAUUAUAUUACAUUGAUCUCUAAUUGAUAAUUAAAUUAGGUUUCACAAUACACCUUUCCACAAAUAUGGUUUAGCUUACUUUAUUAUAUUAGUUAAAAACAAAAACGUUUAUGGAAAUACUUUAAAAAAAAAUAAAAAAGUACUCAUGAAAAAAUAAAAGUGUUUCUAUUAAAGAUUUUUUUAAAGUUAAAGAAAUGUUAAAAAAUCCAUUUUUAAUUUUACUAUAAUUUCUUCUUAUAAGAAUAUUUUAAAAUAGAAAUUGCUUUUAUCCUAUAAAAUAAGGAGUGAGAAAAAGUAGUUUUUUUUUUUUUCAAAAAAACACCUAUUUUAGUAAAUACUUUUCAAAUCACCCAUUUUGGUAAAUAAGUUUUCCACCAACACCCUUUUAGGAAAAAACUCGAACUUAUUAAGAGUUAAUAAUUUGUUUUUAUAGCGUUUGGGUUCGCUUAUUUAAAUUACUUUUGUGUGUUGAGAAGUUAAAAAUGAUAAUUAGUAUUUGUAAGGGGAGGUGGGGCGGUCCGUGAUGAAUCCCCCGUCACGCGUUAAACCACCACGAACACCGCCACCACUAUAUAUAUCACGCGUUAAAUUUGAAACGCGUUGAAAAGUUGAAAAAAUUCGAACGUUGCUUGUUUUUGACCGUUGAAUAACGGUAAUAUUCAAUAAAAAAAACCUUUAAACCCUUUAUCUAUUUAUAUCUCCAUUUUAAACCAUUUUACACACACCAAUCUACAUCUUUAAACCAUUUUAAACCCAUUUCACACAAUCUACAUCUUUAUCAAAUGGAGUUCCCUACGGAUUCGACGUUUCCGAUGACAUGGCAUGAGUUGCGGAAUGAAGAAACUCACUUUCGGUUGAGAUACAAUUUAAUCGAACUAGUAGGUUCUCUAGGUUUGGAGUUUCAUGAGUCGGACGAGGAGUAGUUUUUUUUUUUACAUUGUAGUCUAAAUUAUUUCUAGUAUGUUAAAUUGAAGUAGUAUGUUUUAAUUUUAAUGAAAUUUAUAAUUUUAGUGUU